CGAAGGAUGCAAGCGUUAUCCGGAUUCAUUGGGUUUAAAGGGUGCGUAGGCGGACUUGUAAGUCAGUGGUGAAAUCUCUCAGCUUAACUGAGAAACUACCAUUGAUACUGCAGGUCUAGAGUAUAGAUGACGUUGGCGGAAUAUGACAUGUAGUGGUGAAAUACUUAGAUAUGUCAUAGAACACCGAUUGCGAAGGCAGCUAACGAAACUAUAACUGACGCUGAGGCACGAAAGUGCGGGGAUCAAACAGGAUUAGAUACCCUGGUAGUCCGCACCGUAAACGAUGAUUACUCGUUGUUGGCGAUAUGACAGUCAGCGACCAAGCGAAAGCGAUAAGUAAUCCACCUGGGGAGUACGCCGGCAACGGUG
rnacentral:rRNA from 1 species